ACACUGGUGAGGAGUCCCACAAUAGGACGAAACGGCCGUCCAGUAU
rnacentral:hammerhead_ribozyme from 1 species